ensembl:lncRNA
UUUUUUUUUUUUUGUCUUUUCGAUAAUGAGUUGGUUAUAACAAUCUACAAUAAGGCUGCACAGGAAGAAUACUGUGUGAUUUAUUUAUUUUUUUUUUUAUCUCUAAGAACCAAAGUAUAUAAAAUGAGGUUUGAUUCUAGCACCUUUUACAGUAUUAUUGGUGUUGUUCCCUUUAGGAAAAAAAUACCUUCACUCCACAUCUGUUCUAGCAUCUCUCUCUAGUUUCAGCAAUACUUCAAAGGUAACAAUAAAGGGAUGAUUGACCCAAACCAGCAGUCCUUUGACAAAAAAAACCUCUCCCCCCUGAAGUCAGGCAGAACUGCUCGUGUGAGCAAAGCCUUUGCCAGCUUCCCUCCUGCCUGCCAGCGAGGGCUGGGGCAGCAGCUCGCUCCGAGCAGCACGGAAAACCGAGCAUCCAAAGAGGAAAAAAACCACACCAAUUUGCUGGGGCAGCUGAGAUGGAGAGGCUCGACAGCAGAUGGUUUUCUUAGGGUGGGGGCAAUAACACUGCUCUCCACAAGGUGCAGAGGAUGCUGCCCUGGGAUGCUCCCCUGGGAUGCUGCCCCACCGACCCCAUCAUCCUCCUUCCAUGGCAAGGGGAGACUUCCCCAUCCCACGUGAGGAGGAAGAUGUGGCCUGGCGGCAUCCACUGGGGAGAUUUGAAGAAACUUUUAUAAAUUUCUAUGAUGUUAAACAGCAUCUUUCGCUGAGAGUGUUUCUGGGAGUUGGGAGGGGAGAAGGAAGCUGGGAAAAAAAAAUGGGAAAGAGAAGCUCCUUGCCAAGGUUGUAAUGUUUUACAGGACAUUUGUUGGUUUCACUCAAGCAGUGUUAAUCCUGCAGAGGAAUGGUCCAUUCCCCAGACAGUGGUAUCAGAACCUCAAUUAUAUAUAUAUAAUUAUAACUAUAACAAUCUAUCUAUCUAUCUAGCUAUCUAUCUAUCUUUAUUUAUAUAAGUAUACAUUAAAGUCUGUUACUGCACUGGCACCUAAUACAGAGGAAAAGUACUGGCGUUGCUGCUGGAUGCAAGUGGUUGCCUUGACUGAAGACCUGUGAAGGGUGAGCACCACAAGGAAAGGCACCACGAGGCUUUGAGAGUUGAAAUGUUGCUGCCCUAACAUAGCCAUCAUCAACAAAAAUAAAGAGCUUGGUGGAGUUCAUGAGGGCAGGUGGGGCCAGGCUGAAUUCUGGCCUUGCUGAUGACAGAAAAAACAGAGUUUUCCCAGAAAAAAAUACUGGGGUUUACGCAGGGUGGCUGAUGGUGAAAUUGAGACCAGAGUUUGGUCUUUUAAGGGGCACAUUGAUUUUUGCGAGCUCUUAUGUAGCACUUUGGACACUUUUUAUCAGUCUUCCUAGAUUCAAAUGGCCUCUUUGUGCCGUGUUCAACAUGCCUGCGCCGAUGGGAGAAAGGCAGGAUUGAACUUAAAGCACUCAGGGAAUAAUCUAACACAACAGAGGGCACAGCCUGCUGUGGGCGGCCUCCUGGGAUGUUCUGGAUGCCUUCAGCUUGCACUAAACCAGGGGAAGUCGGAGGCGCUCAGCGAGCCUGAUCUCAUCGCUUUGCAUAGCCCUGUCCUGAAUAUCUCAAUCUGUCACACCCCAGGAGCCCAGAGAAUAAAUUGUCCUGGACACAGGCAACAAUUUUGAUGGGUUGGCAGAAGUCCUGCCAGGCUGAGGCAGAGAUGAAACCUGCACCUGUCUGGUUAUUGUGGUCUUAGCCCACAUUCCCUCCUUACUCAAACAAUAUUUAUGCUGCGCUAAACUUUUAUGUUGGCCCUUGCUCAGUUUCUUCUGCACAUAAACUCACGCUCAAGCACGUUACCCUCCAAGAUGCAGGAAACAGAGAAAGAGCUGGGAAUAAGCCAGAGCACAUCCUCAGAGCCCUCCAGCAAAACGUGAAGUUGCUGCAGACACUGCCCAUCCCCAACGGGCUCACCGUGCGUAAGGUCAUUGCUUGGUGAUCGAAAAAGAAAAAGAAGAGACUUGCAGGCACUCUAUGCCAAGUUAAGAGCCCAGGUUUUGCAUUGUGUUGACACCUGUCAGCCCAUCCCACCUGAAAAUCCCGAGCUCUUCCGACAGCUGCUGACAAGCAGCCCGCCCCACUGUCGGUGGCAUCGUGCCGAGUCAAGGACAACGCCAACGAGUUUGGUGGAAAUUCGCUCGCUGGACAGAGAGGAGGGGCAGGACUGUCCCCAGCCACUUCUGGCCAGAUCAGAGCAGGGGUUGGUGGCAACCCCGUAUGACCCAAGCACCGUGUGUGUGGCUUGCUGGCAGAAGCCAAGAAUGGUGUUUGGACACCACUGUGGGGGACUAAUGGAGUUGACUGCGGCAGAAUUUGAUGUAGUUUUCCUUGAUCAUUCAAGUUGACUUUUGGGCAUCUAAUUUGGAUCCCAGUCUUUCUAGAAUCCCAGGAAGGCUGGCUCAGGUGCAAAAAUUACCUAGGAAGAAGCCAACCUCUUCCAGAUGAACUGAAAAUCCUUGAUCCUAACUUGGAUGGAUAGGCAUCUUCACUUGCAAGCCACGCUGGGUCGGAACGGCACUGGAAGGACAACUUCAGAUGAAGGACCUGGGUUCAGAACGGGCUGAGUUUGAUUUAUAAGGCAAAAUCAAGGCAUGGGCAUGACCAAGUUUCAAGCUUAGUUAACAAAAAAUGUACUUCUUACUAGGAAAGCUUAGGCCAUUAUUCCUGACUGAUGCACCUGAUCGAGAGGGUCUGGGGUGAGGAGAAUUCUUCUUUGGAAUUUUUUCAGCCAGACAGGAUUUAGGGUGGGAGAAUAAGACACAGGGAUGCCUGUGGCAUGAACUCUUAGGAAUGCACCUGAAGAUCCAUGUGCUCUUUCCACCUCUGCUGUCAACAACUCCAUGGCCCAACAGGACUGUGCUAAAUCCUUGGUUUCUCAGUUGAGUUCCCUGGAUGCUUUCCACAGGGAGUGAGGGGCAUUUCAGAGGAUGGAGAAAAGCGCUUCCCAAAAUCUUAUUGUGACAAUUCAGAACAAUCUGCCUGUGUCUGCUGAGCAAAAUGGGGACAAAAGGAAGGUGACAUGAUGGAUUUGUCCUGCUCUGCUGACCAGCACCAUGGACCCACAACACUUUUGAUGUUAAGAUCUGGAAGAACAUCACCGACAUUAUCUAGAUAAUCCUCUCAUCACCCUUGUGAGGGAACCUUUAUUCCUUCCAGUUUAUAGGUGAAACAUGGAACCCCCAUGUUUCAAAAAAAAAAAAAAACCAAACCCCAAAGCCCCCAGGUUAAACCCUAACAACUUAUUUUUACCACUUUGUAGUGGUUGUGGAAUUUGUUCUCCUUGAAUAAGGUUUAUUUGAGGAAUCAAGUGCAAGAAUGUUUUCCAGGUUUUGAGUGUUAAAGGGUUCCAGUAGUGAUUAGUUGAAUUUCAGUGUUUAUGAGAAAAGUGGCACUUCUGCAAUAGAAGUAUUUAAAUUGUGCUAUUCUCUGUGGCUGUGCCAAUUUUCUGGUACAAUCAAAAUUCACUAAUCAAAAAUUCUGCUAGGAUGACAGCUCAUUUGAGAGGAUUCUGUCGACUUUUAGGAUUCCUUUCAAUCACAAGAGCUUUGCAAGAAGUAGGCUUGACAAAGAUCUUUAAAUGCUCAUUGCAGCACCUGGGGUAAACAUGGCAGAUAUCCAGGGAUGGAGGCGGCAUCAGACUGACCAUUCCUAUAUCACAUGCCCUGGAAAACAGGCCAAGGGCACCAGGGAACAUCUUACACCUGCCAGCAGACACAACCUUAAAAUACUCUGCUUUCUCAACCAAUAGCCCAUGGCAGAGAUGGAGAGAGAAUGUGGAUAUUCAUGCACCGUGAUUUUCAAAAUAAACCCAAAAAUAUUUGCACCACAGGAAGGGCAUUUCCUUGCAAUCAGAAAGGCAUUCAAAACCUCCAGAAUAUAGAGCCUUCCUGUGAUAAUCCUGAUUUGAGGGAAACAGCUCCACCAUGGAGCAUGCUGUCAGAUUCCCAAAGACAGUUUACUUGUUCCGAUUAGUCUGGAACAAGGAACACACAGAAAACUAGGCAAGAACCUCACCCCACCUAUUAUCAUUUACUCUUUUCAUAAUGGGUGGCCACAUCAGAUAUAGCAGAAUGUCCAGACUCGGCCCAGUGACAGGAGUCACCAAAACGAGAUGUGAAAUAGUCCUUCCCUGAGUAAAUAAAACACUUUUAAAAUGAAUUCCCACUCCUCACUGGGACAAAAGGCUGGAAUGGUAAAAGUUUGCAGAGCAGAAACAAUAGCCAGAGCCAUUGUGGUUUUUUUCUGAUAGGGAAAUAUUUUCAUUGGAAACCCCCUCAAGUUUUAGGUCCGUUUUGGGAAGGGACAUAUUUUGUAGCUAAUGGAAAACUUUGAUGUUCAAAGUAAAGUCUCUUCCCUCUCACUCUCCCUACACAGAAAAGAUGAGAGACAAAACGAUUUGGCUGUGAUACCUAUUUAGACCCUCCUUCAGAAAACACGCAUCACAGCUCUCCUCCAAAUGACUGCAAUUACAUCCAAUUUAAUGCUUGUUUAAUUGCUUGAGUCGUUUUGGGAAUUCUAUUGAUAAGUGCAAACCAGUACACUUUCCCUACUACUUAUCCAUCAUGAAUUUGUUGGCUGAUACUGAAACUUCAAUGAUUAUUGAAAAAAAAUCCCAGGUUUUUGAAAAACUGGGAAUGUUGUGAAAUUUAAGUAAUUUGAAGGGGUUGCCUGGAGAGCACUUUGUCUGUAGUUUCUCCCACAGUGUCAGCUCACAAAAUCAGAGAAUACCCUGAGCUGGAAGGGACCCAUAAGGAUCAUGGAAGUCCAACUCCUGACCCUGCAUGGGAUGACCCCAAGAAUCACCCAGUUGAAGUCAAGAAGCUUCAUUCAUCUUCAGGCUGCUGAAAUUCCUCCGGGCGUGUGUCCCUGUGUGUACUUGUGUGCCCUCAGAAACUGAAACCAACCCCUCAAGCGAACAGAUUGCAGGUGUAAUCAGCUGGCAUUUGUCCUGGAUUUUCCCUAGUUAGGAAGGAACAGUGUUUGGUUUUAGAGUGGAAGAAGAAGAGGAAAGGCGGGGGUGGCAUGCAGGUGGCGUUCAGCUGCGGCUGAGGGGAGGAGGUUCUGGCACUGGCAGCGAGUUUUAUUGGUAAAUACAGCUAGAAAGGAAAAUAUGAGCUGCUUGUCCUUGUGACUGAUGAACGGGAAUGACAUCUGGAGGCAAAAUAAUAAUCAUUGCCUUUGAGUGGCAUUUGGCAUUUGAAUUUUAAGGGCUUGAAAUAGAUUUGGAGGGUUUACUCCCUGCAAAGGAGGGCCCCAUUUGCUGUGUGUGUUGACAGGGCUGUUCUCAUUGCAGUGCUGAUAUUGGUGAAAGGAGAAACCAUCUCUUCCUCAGCUAAAGCCAGAGGCUACAAAGCCCCCAUAGAGAUCAGGGGUAGUCUACACUCAGAUGGCUUCUCCUGGAAAGAUACUCCAGCUUUUGCCCAAGUUUUGCCUGGGUUUUGACAAACUCUACAAGCUCAAGCAUGAAAUCUAUUGUUACAGUUGAAGGAAAAGACCAAUAGGGCCCUGUUUGGGCUCCCCAUACCAGUAGUAAUUAGUGGUUUUAGCAUAGAUAGUGUAAGGAGGCACCUGGCCAUCAGUGGAGCUCUACUGAUUUAUCCUGAAGCUGUGUCUGACCCUCAUGUUUGGCCAAAUUUGGCUCCCAAAUUUCUUAAGAAUUGGAAGAUAGGUGGGACAGCAUUUCCUCAGGACCUUAAGCUUCUGAUGGUCUUUCAAUUAAAAAAAAAGAAAAAAAAACCCUACAAGGAAUGUUUAUUUCAACCCUGCUUGCAAAUCCCAAAUUGCUAGCACCUCUCACCAGGAAUGACCUUCCUCAUCUCAAAAAGCCCUUUGGAAUUCACAAUGUGUUCAUAUAUAUUAAAACAUAUAUAUACUGCUGCAGUAACAUGGCAUGUAUGCUCACCUAUAUUUCCACAGGACUGGGGAUAUAGACUCAGACAUACAUGUUGAUUAAUCCCUUUAAUCCUGAAAAUUCAUAGGCACCCACUUUACUUCAGGCUUAAUAUGUAGUAGGAAGAAUUCUCUCUCUUCCUGCUGUUUUACUCUCACUGCCAAAGUGGGCUAUACCAAAACAAUAGGGUGCAAGCACAGCCAGGUGGUUUCCCUGUUAAACAGUGCAAUUUCAGGAGAAUUAAAGGGUGAUUUAUCAAUAAUGUGAACUUCUUGUCUCUUUUUUUUUAAAAUAUAUAUAUAUAUAUUAUAAUGCCCUCAAUACCUUAUAGGCUAUAUCCUAUUUAAUUCCACGAGGUGGGCGACAACGAGCUUUGAAAGCAGUCUGCACCUACAUCUUUUUACUCUACCAGAUACACAUGAGACUUUAAUUGCUUUCAAAACCACACUUGCCCUCUCUCAGCCCUCUCAGUCCAUCCCUGUUCAAGACACAGAUGUAUGGUGCUUUUUAGGACAAAGAGGGAAUAUUCAUUUGUUGGCCAGCAUUUGGUUGGGUCAAACAAAACAGUUAGCAUAGCACCGAAGGAGUUACAUUGGUGUUUUUUCCCAACGUCAAUCUUUUUUUUUUUUUUUUUUUUUUUUUUUGAACAGAAGAAGUAAAAAGAACCCAGAUGCACCAAGCUGAGUACUUAAAACAGGGCAAAGAAACAGCUGGGGAGAAGGAUGGGGAAGAAGCAGACCCAAAGCCGAUGCGGAUGAGCGAUGGCCCAUCUGUAGGAGUGGGGCUUCUAAACUUACUCUGC